UGACGAGUGGCGGACGGGUGAGUAAUGUCUGGGGAUCUGCCUGAUGGAGGGGGAUAACUACUGGAAACGGUAGCUAAUACCGCAUAAUGUCGUAAGACCAAAGUGGGGGACCUUUUGGCCUCACACCUUCAGAUGAACCCAGAUGGGAUUAGCUAGUAGGUGAGGUAAUAGCUUACCUAGGCGACGAUCCCUAGCUGGUCUGAGAGGAUGACCAGCCACACUGGAACUGAGACACGGUCCAG
rnacentral:rRNA from 1 species